AUCGCCUCUUGACUUUAUAAGAGGUCCAGCCUGCCCAGUGACCCAGUUUAACGGCCGCGGUAUCCUAACCGUGCGAAGGUAGCGUAAUCACUUGUUCUUUAAAUGAGGACUAGUAUGAACGGCAUCACGAAGGUUGCACUGUCUCCCCUUUUUAAUCAGUGAAACUAAUCUUCCCGUGAAGAAGCGGGAAUGCUUUAAUAAGACGAGAAGACCCUAUGGAGCUUUAAACGAUUUGACACUUGCUGUCAUUUUACCCCUCUCAGGAACCUCACAAAAACACAGCACUAUGAUCACAAGUUUUCGAUUGGGGUGAUCACGGAGUAAAGACUAACCUCCACGCCAAAUGAGCUCAGCCUCUGGGCUGUAAGCCACAACUUUACGCACUAAAAAAUUAAUGUCUCUUGACCCAAUAAUUUGAUCAACGAACCGAGUUACCCUAGGGAUAACAGCGCAAUCCACUUCAAGAGCCCCUAUCGACAAGUGGGUUUACGACCUCGAUGUUGGAUCAGGGUGUCCAAGUGGUGCAGCCGCUACUAAUGGUUCGUUUGUUCAACGAUUAAAACCCU
rnacentral:rRNA from 1 species